rnacentral:rRNA from 1 species
ACUUCGGGAAACCGGAGCUAAUACCGGAUAAUAUUUUGAACCGCAUGGUUCAAAAGUGAAAGACGGUCUUGCUGUCACUUAUAGAUGGAUCCGCGCUGCAUUAGCUAGUUGGUAAGGUAACGGCUUACCAAGGCAACGAUGCAUAGCCGACCUGAGAGGGUGAUCGGCCACACUGGAACUGAGACACGGUCCAGACUCCUACGGGAGGCAGCAGUAGGGAAUCUUCCGCAAUGGGCGAAAGCCUGACGGAGCAACGCCGCGUGAGUGAUGAAGGUCUUCGGAUCGUAAAACUCUGUUAUUAGGGAAGAACAUAUGUGUAAGUAACUGUGCACAUCUUGACGGUACCUAAUCAGAAAGCCACGGCUAACUACGUGCCAGCAGCCGCGGUAAUACGUAGGUGGCAAGCGUUAUCCGGAAUUAUUGGGCGUAAAGCGCGCGUAGGCGGUUUUUUAAGUCUGAUGUGAAAGCCCACGGCUCAACCGUGGAGGGUCAUUGGAAACUGGAAAACUUGAGUGCAGAAGAGGAAAGUGGAAUUCCAUGUGUAGCGGUGAAAUGCGCAGAGAUAUGGAGGAACACCAGUGGCGAAGGCGACUUUCUGGUCUGUAACUGACGCUGAUGUGCGAAAGCGUGGGGAUCAAACAGGAUUAGAUACCCUGGUAGUCCACGCCGUAAACGAUGAGUGCUAAGUGUUAGGGGGUUUCCGCCCCUUAGUGCUGCAGCUAACGCAUUAAGCACUCCGCCUGGGGAGUACGACCGCAAGGUUGAAACUCAAAGGAAUUGACGGGGACCCGCACAAGCGGUGGAGCAUGUGGUUUAAUUCGAAGCAACGCGAAGAACCUUACCAAAUCUUGACAUCCUUUGACAACUCUAGAGAUAGAGCCUUCCCCUUCGGGGGACAAAGUGACAGGUGGUGCAUGGUUGUCGUCAGCUCGUGUCGUGAGAUGUUGGGUUAAGUCCCGCAACGAGCGCAACCCUUAAGCUUAGUUGCCAUCAUUAAGUUGGGCACUCUAAGUUGACUGCCGGUGACAAACCGGAGGAAGGUGGGGAUGACGUCAAAUCAUCAUGCCCCUUAUGAUUUGGGCUACACACGUGCUACAAUGGACAAUACAAAGGGCAGCGAAACCGCGAGGUCAAGCAAAUCCCAUAAAGUUGUUCUCAGUUCGGAUUGUAGUCUGCAACUCGACUACAUGAAGCUGGAAUCGCUAGUAAUCGUAGAUCAGCAUGCUACGGUGAAUACGUUCCCGGGUCUUGUACACACCGCCCGUCACACCACGAGAGUUUGUAACACCCGAAGCCGGUGGAGUAACCUUUUAGGAGCUAGCCGUCGAAGGUGGGACAAAUGAUUGGGGUGAAGUCGUAACAAGGUAGCCGUAUCGGAAGGUGCGGCUGGAUCACCUCCUUU